GAAAGCGAGGCUAAUACCAGNAUAAGACCACAUUGUUCAUGGACAGUGCGGUAAAAGGCGGCCUCUUCUUGAAAGCUGUCACCUGAGGAUGGGCCCGCGGCCUAUUAGCUUGUUGGUGAGGUAACGGCUCACCAAGGCGACGAUGGGUAGCCGGCCUGAGAGGGUGAACGGUCACACUGGCACUGAGACACGGGCCAGACUCCUACGGGAGGCAGCAGUGGGGAAUUUUGCGCAAUGGGGGAAACCCUGACGCAGCAACGCCGCGUGAGUGAUGAAGGCCUUCGGGUCGUAAAGCUCUUUUAGUGGGGAAGAAACAUCCGUGGGCUAAUACUCCACGGACUUGACGGUACCCACAGAAAAAGUUCCGGCUAACUACGUGCCAGCAGCCGCGGUAAUACGUAGGGAGCAAGCGUUGUUCGGAAUUAUUGGGCGUAAAGAGCGCGUAGGCGGCCUGGAUAGUCCGGUGUGAAAUCUCACAGCUCAACUGUGAAACUGCAUCGGAAACUGCCAGGCUAGAGUGCGGGAGAAGAAGAGUGGAAUUCCCAGUGUA
rnacentral:rRNA from 1 species